rnacentral:tRNA from 1 species
GUUAUUAUAGCUUAUAAUAAAGUAUAGUACUGAAAAUACUAAGAAGGUUACACCUAUUAACA